rnacentral:rRNA from 1 species
CCUACGGGGGACAGCAGUGAGGAAUAUUGGUCAAUGGGCGCGAGCCUGAACCAGCCAAGUCGCGUGAAGGAUGACUGCCCUAUGGGUUGUAAACUUCUUUUAUAAAGGAAUAAAGCGAGGCACGUGUGCCUUUUUGUAUGUACUUUAUGAAUAAGGAUCGGCUAACUCCGUUCCAGCCACCGCGGUAAUACGGAGGGUCCGAGCGUUAUCCGGAUUUAUUGGGUUUAAAGGGAGCGUAGAUGGGUUGUUAAGUCAGUUGUGAAAGUUUGCGGCUCAACCGUAAAAUUGCAAUUGAUACUGGCAGUCUUGAGUACAGUUGAGGUAGGCGGAAUUCGUGGUGUAGCGGUGAAAUGCUUAGAUAUCACGAAGAACUCCGAUUGCGAAGGCAGCUUACUAAACUGCGACUGACAUUGAUGCUCGAAAGUGUGGGUAUCAAACAGGAUUAGAUACCCGGGUAGUC